rnacentral:sRNA from 1 species
AAAGAUCCGAGUUCAGAUAAUCACUGCCGCCCCUGGAGUCAGAGCCAAGGCUCCAGCUCUCGAGGCGUUGAGCUCAGGUCCCUUCCUAACCCAGUCCGGAAGCCGUGGGCAAGUUGUUGUCGUGCCCCACGCUUGAGAGAAUGGGGAUGCAGACUGUUUACAUGCCACGGAGGUGAGAGAGGGUGGACAAGCCCCAGAGAACAAAGUGGGGACCAGAGUGAGCUUUACUCUGUCAUCCCUUCUUAGUGGUUCUUUGAUGAUUCCGACUUUCUCCUGGAAUUCUGGGUGUACGUGAUCUCUUCAUGGUUAUUAACUUCUUCAGGAAAGUCAGAUACUCCUAUUUCCCUUGCUCCCUGAAGUGAGUGCCCCAAGCCUACACAUACACCUUCCUGUUACAGUUGAAGUGUAAAGAUCAGAGCAAAAAUGACUAUGUCUCUAAAAUGUAGUGAGGACUCUUCUUGUCUUUUAAAGUUUUCCCCAAGGCUUCAGUUUUUAUUUUCUGCGUGAUGGGUAAGUUCUUCAUUCCCAAUAGAGUUCAGGGGAUUGGGGCUAUCUGGGAGACAACUGGGAGAUAGCUCAAAGAGCGGUUGAGAAAAAACUGAGUUGGACUCCUGCCUGAUCCCCCAUUAUGGCUAGGAUGAAUGUGGGGGUGGCACACAGCGAAGUAAACCCCAACACUCGAGUGAUGAAUAGCCGAGGCAUCUGGCUGGCCUACAUCAUCUUGGUAGGAUUGCUGCAUGUGGUUCUACUCAGCAUCCCCUUCUUCAGCAUUCCUGUUGUCUGGACCCUGACCAACGUCAUCCAUAACCUGGCUAUGUAUGUCUUCCUUCAUACGGUGAAAGGGACACCCUUUGAGACUCCUGACCAAGGAAAGGCCCGGCUACUGACAC